CCUACGGGCGGCUGCAGUGGGGAAUAUUGCACAAUGGGCGCAAGCCUGAUGCAGCCAUGCCGCGUGUGUGAAGAAGGCCUUCGGGUUGUAAAGCACUUUCAGCGGGGAGGAAGGCGUUAAGGUUAAUACCCUUGGCGAUUGACGUUACCCGCAGAAGAAGCACCGGCUAACUCCGUGCCAGCAGCCGCGGUAAUACGGAGGGUGCAAGCGUUAAUCGGAAUUACUGGGCGUAAAGCGCACGCAGGGGGUCUGUCAAGUCGGAUGUGAAAUCCCCGGGCUCAACCUGGGAACUGCAUUCGAAACUGGCAGGCUAGAGUCUUGUAGAGGGUGGUAGAAUUCCAGGUGUAGCGGUGAAAUGCGUAGAGAUCGGGAGGAAUACCGGUGGCGAAGGCGGCCCCCUGGACAAAGACUGACGCUCAGGUGCGAAAGCGUGGGGAGCAAACAGGAUUAGAUACCCGAGUAGUC
rnacentral:rRNA from 1 species